GUUUACCUCUGUGCCACCCUGAACAAGCCCGAUGUCUGAUCUCGGAAGCUAAGCAGGGUCAGACCUGGUUAGUACUUGGAUGGGAGACCACCUAGGAAGACCAGGUGCUGUGAGCA
rnacentral:rRNA from 1 species